AUAUAUGUAUCCUGGAAGCUUGAUUUAAAGUAUGUUUCUGAAAUGCUGCAAUUAUUAUAUUUUUCUUUUGAUGAUCAGUUGUAUUUUCUUUGCACUGACUUCUGUGUGGUUGUGUAAUACUCCCUGCUUAUGUAGCCUUCAGAUUUAGAUUUCAUAAUCUACCUAACUUCUUGCUUUCCUGAGUGGCUAGUCAGCCUGAAUUUGAAGAAUUGGGAUGCUGAACCAUCAAUAUCAGAUUAACAGGACUGUGACACCCGAGAAAGAAAGGAGGCUGGAGUGAUGCUGAUUACACUGGAAGGCCUUGAUAGCACUUACCGUGCACCUGGCUACGUGACUCCUAUUCCCCUAUCACAGGGAAGAGAUGAGUUUUCUCCCUUCAUGUGACAACAAUGUUUUCAUGUCAUUGAUAUUUUUUAUUUAAUGCUGCUAGUAACCACACACUGUAAAGCGGAGCCAGCGUUUGGAAAAUGCAAUUUGUUCCUCAAAGAAAGGAAUGAGGAAAGAUGUUUCAGUGGGAAACUGUAAGUAAAGAGUGUUAAUACUGCACUUAGCUGUGACUCACUUUGCAGAUCCUGGCCUUACAGACAGGGAAGACUUCUUGAUCCUGUUGUGAAAAGAAGAGAAGGCUUUUACAUGCAGUGCUGGCAAGCUCUGGCUGACUUGGACAGCAUUGGGCUUUCUGCUGCAAGUUGCUAACCUAGACUUCCGGGAAGCACCUUUAUGUUCAAGUACUGACUUCCUACCCAGCCAGAGAGGGGUGCCUGACAGGUGCUGGACCUCCAAGUUAAAGCAGUGUCUAUACACUCAAGGUUACACUUUAAAUUGAACCUGGAAACAGUCACCAGUACAGCCUGAGUUGCUGGAAUUAUUGCAGCUGAUUUUGCCCCAGGCACGGUUCACUGGGGAGUUGGUACCUGGGGUUCUGUUGAUAUCCCUGUCACUGGCAAGGCUUGUAUCAGGCCACUUAGCAUCAUAUUGAUCCAACAGCUUACUUCAUUGAGGCCAAUGGAGAUAACUCUUCAAUAGCCAUAAUUCCACUUGCCUGCAUGCUACAUAAAUUGCCUUCUCAAUCACCAGGUUUUAUUGUGGGGCAGGACUGUUCCUUUGAAGCUUCUGGUGCUGGCUGCUGUCAGAAGCAGGAUACUUGCCUCAAUGAUCCAUUGCUCCUAAUCAGGAAAAACCACUGGUGUUUAGUGCCAGCUGUCUGCUUAUUACAGCAAAGGAACUGGGAGAAGACAUCAGGAACAAGGCAAUCAUUAAAGAGAUAUGGAAGAUCUACCAUGCAGACACAGAAUACUGCCUGCGACCAGCCCAGUCUACACUCUACUCUUCUGAGUAUUAUCUUAGGUGUUAGACAUUUUAAUUUGAAGUAGCACCCAUAAUUACAUUUUUAAGAAGCCAAAUCCAGCAUGCUUACCAGGACCAGCCCCUGGGGUGCUUGCUGCUUGCACUGGUUGGGUCCAGAUGUAAGCGUACUGCUCAGUUUGAUCCUGGCUGAGACUUUGGAGCCCAGAGAGUUACUCACCUCUCGGGCCCAGAGGAAAUGGCUGGGUAGAGGACCUCCCCGACUACUGCGCUGGCCAUGGACACAUGUAAGUUCCUCAAAGUUCUGUUCAAGAUUAAAUUAGGCACAUUCAUUGUUUCUGAAUGUGGACCUUUGUUCUUAUGCAUUUAUGUAUACCAGCAACAGAAGUAGUAUGGACUAAUAGGUUUGGUAAAAGGCUUAUAAACUAACAGGUAGAAGUACUCAGCAGCUGUUCAUUAAAUGCAGAUAGUGUGGCCGUUCCACUUUUCAAGGUUUUACCAAGGUGCAAAACUGCAUCAGCCUGUCUCUGUCUCAUAGAGACACAUGGUUUCUUCCACUUCCAUUUUUUAAGGUAAUACUUACAUUAAGCUCUGAUUCACAGGAAAAUGCAAACGAAAUCCUAAAAGUUUGUCAGCAUCUCGAUAUUCUCUUGAUUUAAAAAAGUUUAACUUGUUCUUCCUUUUUUUUAGUACAGAAAUAGACAUCUGAGUCACUAAUUUGUUUGCCCUCUUUGAGGCUGUUGAAAUGUAAAAGAGAUGAGUUAGCAGCCCCUGGCAGUGGGGGCUAUAAUGGAGAUGCUGACAGACUUAUUUAUAGUGUGGUCGUGCUACCAGGCAUUACAAUUACAUUUCACUCAGGGAAGUUACUUUGACUUCUUUAAGUGACAUCUGUAGUUAAACAGCUCUUUAAAGCUCAUCUUAACACCGUACAUGUUUAGACGAUUGAAUUUUUGUCAUAACCAGGGUACCAUACCAGUGGUUAUCCUGAUGCUCUGUUUUACUUUAAAGGCCUACAAUUGUCUUAUCUCAUUCCCUGCCUUAAUUACUUUAAAUGUACUGACAAGCACAACUGACCAAUUAAUAGUGCUUUUUCUCAUCUUAUCUCAUUUGUUAUCCAUGAUGCUCUUCCAUGUUGUAAUUACUUUUCAAUUUUUCAUGACUCAAAAUAGGAGAUGUACAUAAUGAAUACAAAUAGCAAAUUGAUUAAAUGUAACAUGCAUUGUAGCACCACUAAGACUGUCAUUUGUUAUUAAUGAGAGAGAUUUGUCAGGUUCUUGUGAAAAGGCUUGUGACGCACAGCAAUCCAAACCUAAUAGCUGUAAGACUGUAGCCGACCUUCAGCUGUUUAAUUGUCAUGC